UACGUAGGGUGCGAGCGUUUAAUCGGAAUUACUGGGCGUAAAGCGUGCGCAGGCGGUUCGUUGUGUCGGCGGUGAAAAUCCCCGGGCUCAACCUGGGAAUGGCCGUUGAAACUGGCGAACUGGAGUGUGGCAGAGGGGGGUGGAAUUCCGCGUGUAGCAGUGAAAUGCGUAGAGAUGCGGAGGAACACCGAUGGCGAAGGCAGGUCUCUGGGCAUUAACUGACGCUGAGGAGCGAAAGCAUGGGGAGCGAACAGG
rnacentral:rRNA from 1 species